rnacentral:rRNA from 1 species
UACGAAGGGGGCUAGCGUUGCUCGGAAUGACUGGGCGUAAAGGGCGCGUAGGCGGAAUGCUUUGUUGGGCGUGAAAUUCCAGGGCUCAACCUUGGGGCUGCGUUCGAGACGGGUAUUCUAGAGUGGGGAAGAGGGUCGUGGAAUUCCCAGUGUAGAGGUGAAAUUCGUAGAUAUUGGGAAGAACACCGGUGGCGAAGGCGGCUCUCUGGGACGGUACUGACGCUGAGACGCGAAAGCGUGGGGAGCGAACAGG